rnacentral:rRNA from 1 species
AUUGAACGCUGGCGGCAGGCCUAACACAUGCAAGUCGAGCGGAUGAAGGGAGCUUGCUCCUGGAUUCAGCGGUGGACGGGCGAGUAAUGCCUAGGAAUCUGCCUGGCCUUGGGGGCUAACGUCCGGACACGGGCGCUAAUCCCGCAUACGUCCUGAUGUAGAAACUGGUGGUUCUUCGGACCUCACGCUUUCUGCUGACCCUAGGUCGGAUUAGCUAGUUGGUUGGGUAAAGGCCUACCAAGGCGACGAUCCGUAACUGGUCUGAGAGGAUGAUCAGUCACACUGGAACUGAGACACGGUCCAGACUCCUACGGGAGGCAGCAGUGGGGAAUAUUCGGCAAUGGGCGAAAGCCUGACCCAGCCACGCCGCGUGUGUGAAGAAGGUCUUCGGAUUGUAAAGCACUGUAAGUUGGGAGGAAGAGCAGUAAGUUAAUACCUUGCUGUUUUGACGUUACCAACAGAAUAAGCACCGGCUAACUUCGUG